CUUACGUCCGUUUAUUGUUGCUGAUCCGCGGGCCCUACCACCACCUCAUCAUCUUCAACUUCCACCCAAACGAAACGCACGCACGUAUAAUGUUGACAGUUUCUAGCGUUUCUUCCCCAAUUGAUUUCCGGCGAUUUAAGCCACCAUUUGACGCACCGUUUCUUCCUACUUAAGCCUCGGAUUCUCCUCUCUAUUUACCCCCAAACGGCACAUCCCGAGAUCCCCCAGGCUGAUCGAAUUUUAGCUCGCAAGUUCGCGUUACCGGCGAGUUCCCGGAGAAAAUUCGCGACGGCGCCAUUUUCAUCUGUGAGCACGUCCGUGGGAACAGUCUCCGGCUCCGGCGAAAUAGUGCACCUCGACGUCCGCCGCUUCUUCAUCAAGUUCGUCUUGUCAAACAGGGCGCGUGGUUUGCUUCAUCAUCGGCAGGGAAUCGCAGGAGCAUCGAGCCGUCAACCGUGGACCACAGCGACUAGGCUUUUCCAUUAACCUCUGUCUCCUACGUGAGCUGCUACCCUUGUUCUUUAUUCUUUCUUUCUUUCUUUAUUUUCAGUGAACCACACAAUGUAGAUCCUAAGGUCAAAAUCGGAUCACUUAGAUGAAGGGGUAUCGGCCAAUCAAAAUCAGCCACUUGUCAUAUGUGUUGUAAUUUUCGGAUAUUAGAACAGGACAUACUCCAAUUUUUGAAAAAUCAUAUCUUUAGCUCUA